AUGAGGCCCAGGCCAGGCCAGGUGGGCCAUGAGGCCCCUGGGGGGCGAGGCCCUGGCAGGCAGUGCUGGCCCAUGCUGCUGGGCCUGGCCAUAGGUGCCCUUGGCCUGGUGUCCGCAACGACAGCACCGAAGAGCAGGGCCCUGGGCCCCAGAGAUAGGGCAGGAAGCAGCCGGUCCAGCCUGUGGAGCCUUUGGGGCAGGUCCCUGCUCCAUCCUGGCCCCUGGGAGGGAGGCCCCAGGUGCUGGCCCCAUGGGACUUGGUCCGAGCAUCAGUCACGAUGGUAUGUCUUUGGCAGUGGGACCCAACUCACCGUCCUAGGUCAGGCCAAGGCCGCCCCCUUGGUCACUCUCUUCCCGCCCUCCUCUGAGGAGCUCAAAGACAACAAGGCCACACUGGUGUGUCUGAUGAGUGACUUCUACCCGGGCGCCGUGACGGUGGCCUGGAAGGCAGACGGCACACCCGUCACCCAGGGCGUGGAGACCACCAAGCCCUCCAAACAGAGCAACAACAAGUACGGGGCCAGCAGCUUCCUGACCCUGUCGCCCCAGCAGUGGAAUUCCCACAAAAGCUACAGCUGCCAGGUCACGCACGAAGGGAGCACCGUCGAGAAGACAGUGGCCCCUGCAGAGUGUUCUUAGGUCCCCAACCCUCACCCACCCACGGGGGCCUGGAGCUGCAGAAUCCCAGGGGACGGGUCUCCCCUUACUCCCCCCACCCCGGUCACCCCAGCCCUU